rnacentral:rRNA from 1 species
ACGGGUGAGUAACACGUGGGUAACCUGCCUGUAAGACUGGGAUAACUCCGGGAAACCGGAGCUAAUACCGGAUAGUUCCUUGAACCGCAUGGUUCAAGGAUGAAAGACGGUUUCGGCUGUCACUUACAGAUGGACCCGCGGCGCAUUAGCUAGUUGGUGGGGUAAUGGCUCACCAAGGCGACGAUGCGUAGCCGACCUGAGAGGGUGAUCGGCCACACUGGGACUGAGACACGGCCCAGACUCCUACGGGAGGCAGCAGUAGGGAAUCUUCCGCAAUGGACGAAAGUCUGACGGAGCAACGCCGCGUGAGUGAUGAAGGUUUUCGGAUCGUAAAGCUCUGUUGUUAGGGAAGAACAAGUGCGAGAGUAACUGCUCGCACCUUUACGGUACCUAACCAGAAAGCCACGGCUAACUACGUGCCAGCAGCCGCGGUAAUACGUAGGUGGCAAGCGUUGUCCGGAAUUAUUGGGCGUAAAGGGCUCGCAGGCGGUUUCUUAAGUCUGAUGUGAAAGCCCCCGGCUCAACCGGGGAGGGUCAUUGGAAACUGGGAAACUUGAGUGCAGAAGAGGAGAGUGGAAUUCCA